CUAGUUUCCACUUUUAAACUCAAACCCCCUAUACACUCUUUCACUGGAAAAGUCACGAAUCCCGAGAGUUCCGGUGGGACCGUCCAUUAACGUUCGAUUUGAACGUUACCAAACUCAAUAAUUAAAUUAAAUUAAAUAAAUUCUCAAAAAUGAGAAGGAAAAAAAAAAGACGCCUAUAAAUUCCUAGCUUCUCUACUAGUUAACUUACAUCGAAAUUCACCUCAUCAAUCUUUCUCUAUCAUCAAAAUUCCUAGCUUCUCUACUGUUGAUUCUCUCUGUAUACGCUUUCUCUCUCUCUAGAAAUCUAUAAUGGCGUUGAAGGGAAUCUCUGGUGCUCUAUUCUUCUUAAUCCUAGCGGUGGCCGCAAGGUACACCACCUCCGUGGCGGUAGCGCAAGAAAUCGAUCUGGCUCCGGCCCCGGCGCCGAUAAUGAUGCAAUCCGCAGCCGGUUACCCGGCGAUGUCUGGUGCCUUCGCUUUCAUUUCGCUGUUCUUGUCAUUCGUUUCCCUGAUUUGGCAGUAAAAGAGGCAUGCGGAGAUUUAUAUAUAUAUAUAUAUAUAUAUAAUUAUAUAUGUUAUAUAACUAGAUUUGGGGGUUUUGAUCUAUGGGAAUGAUGAGUGUUGUUGAGAAUGAGAUCGGAGAUGCUCUAUUUGUUAUUCUUUUGGCCCUAAUUUCGGGUUAGGGUUUUAUUUAUUAUUGUAUGGUCUUAUAAUGUACGGAUUUUGAUUAAGAGUUAUAUUCUAUUUAUUUAUUUACUGUCUUUCCAGUUCGCUAGUUGUUUCUUAGCUUAGUUUUGGUUCAUACUCUAAUUUGGUUACAGUUUUCUAAUUUGGUUCAUACUCUAAUUUUUGGUUAUAGUUUAUACUCUAAUUUCGUUAGUUUAUUUUUUUUUAGUCUAAAACUAAAAAAAUUAAUUAAUUCUUU
rnacentral:lncRNA from 1 species